UGGGGAAUAUUGCACAAUGGGGGGAACCCUGAUGCAGCAACGCCGCGUGAAGGAAGACGGUUUUCGGAUUGUAAACUUCUAUCAAUAGGGAAGAAAGAGAUGACGGUACCUAAAUAAGAAGCCCCGGCUAACUACGUGCCAGCAGCCGCGGUAAUACGUAGGGGGCAAGCGUUAUCCGGAAUUACUGGGUGUAAAGGGAGAGUAGGCGGCAUGGUAAGCAAUAUGUGAAAGCCUCGGGCUUAACCUGAGGAUUGCAUAAUGAACUAUCAAGCUAGAGUACAGGAGAGGAAAGCGGAAUUCCUAGUGUAGCGGUGAAAUGCGUAGAUAUUAGGAAGAACACCAGUGGCGAAGGCGGCUUUCUGGACUGGAAACUGACGCUGAGGCUCGAAAGCGUGGGGAGCGAACA
rnacentral:rRNA from 1 species